AACUCAUUGAUUUUGAUAACUUACAGUCUCCUCAGAAGAUCUCUUGUAGGACUUGACCUUCAGCUGGAGUUUGUCCACCAGGUCUUGAAGACGAGUUAGAUUCUUACGAUCCUCUUCGGUCUACAAAUCACAAGGAUCCUGUUGGGGAAGCCCUUUCUGCAGAUUCUGAUGCCCUCCAGCACACCGUUACAGCGCAGCUGGUGCAUUACCAGAGGAUUCUCCAUCGCCCCAGGAGUCUUGGUCUCAUUGGGGAUCAGGCAACGCACAAAGUGAGGUCAUUGCUGAAGGUCUUGGACAGCUGUAGAUCUGGGCCUUUGAGUUGUGAGAGGCUGCAGCAGCUGUUCUGCAAAUGUUACGGAUCUUCUCAGCCACACACAUCUGCUUUGCUCGCAGUCCAAGCAGGAGAAGACUACUGUGCUUUAAUGCACCACUGAGGCUCAGAUGAAUGAGGAUCCUGUUGGGGAAGCCCUUUCUGCAGAUUCUGAUGCCCUCCAGCACACCGUUACAGCGCAGCUGGUGCAUGACCAGAGGAUUCUCCAUAGCCCCAGGAGUCUUGGUCUCAUUGGGGAUCAGGCAACGCACAAAGUGAGGGAUCCUGUUGGGGAAGCCCUUUCUGCAGAUUCUGAUGCCCUCCAGCACACCGUUACAGCGCAGCUGGUGCAUGACCAGAGGAUUCUCCAUCGCCCCAGGAGUCUUGGUCUCAUUGGGGAUCAGGCAACGCACAAAGUGAGGAAUAAAGUCUAAUGCAGUCUGGUGAAAAGACGACACCUACAGAGUCCACCAGUGAUGCACCUAAUACAGAAAUUGCCAUGUUGGGAAAGACAACAAAUAAAUAUGGAUGAACAUCGGCUUCAUAGUUACCAUUUCUCAAAAACAAAUAUGAGGGUCAGGGACAAAACAUUCCUUCUUCAUGUUAAAGGGGCGAGUUUGGGCCUCCAGACGUUCCAUGUAUGACAUCCUGAGAAAUGGAGCAGCAGGUCCAAACUCUGCCAUUACAGCAUUUCCCAUAUUUCACAAAUGCUAAAUAGUAAUUGUCUCAUGUCUACAUCUGCUCCAUUAAUUCAUUAAGAUUUGAGUCAAACCAAUCGUAUGCACUUCUCAUGCACAUGGUAGUCAUAUCCCUGCCAAAUGCUAUCCCAUAAUGACAAUACUGAUGCAUUCACAUGUGCCAUUUGUAUCCAAAAUAACUAUUGUAAGCAAAGCCAAGAAAACAAAUGUAAAUGUAUAUUUUUGACCUGUGAUGUUUUGUUACGAAGCGACAGAGGUGAGGAGUCCUAAUAAAGUAACUCUUGAGAUUCAACCAAUGUAUUGUCUGUCUUUCAUGGUCUCUCUCUUAAUACACCAACAACAUCCACAGUGUUGAGUUUAUGUGGAGUCGUAGACUAGCAGUUCUCAUUGGUUAAGGAUUUUAAAGCUUGACAACACACGGCAGUUACGUUUAG